rnacentral:lncRNA from 1 species
CUGCAUCUAAUCCUCACCAUGACCUGGUAAAUUACUGAUAUUAUUCUUAUUUUGUAGAUAAAGCAACUGUCCAUCAGAAAGGUUGAGUAACUUGACCAAGGUAACACGUCUAAAGGUGAAUCAGGUUUUUGACCACAGAUCUGAUCAACCCCCAAACUCUCAAGACUUGAUUUGCACAAUACCAUUGAGCUGGGAUCAGAAUGCAUUCCUCUUGAUUUCAAGUUCUCAGAUUCUGAAGACCAGGAUUCCUCAUGAAUCUGUCAGCCCUCCUCACCCCAGCUCUGGGCCUCUGUGUCACCACCACUGCCACCUCAUCAUUAUUUUAUUUCAUGCCAAUCACUGGACUAAACACCUUACAGGCUUUAUCACAUUUAAUUCCUUCAACAACACCAAGAGACGGUGUUCAGCCCUGGGUUGAGAAAAAGAGUCUAGAACACCUUUCAAAUGGAAUAUUG